rnacentral:rRNA from 1 species
UACAGAGGGUGCGAGCGUUGUCCGGAAUCAUUGGGCGUAAAGCGCGCGCAGGCGGAUUAAUAAGUCAGGUGUGAAAUCUCGAAGCUCAACUUCGAAACUGCGCCUGAAACUAUUAGUCUAGAGUGUUGGAGGGGGUAGGGGGAAUUUCACGUGUAGGGGUAAAAUCCGUAGAGAUGUGAAGGAACACCGGAGGCGAAGGCGCCUACCUGGACAACUACUGACGCUGAGGCGCGAAAGCUAGGGGAGCAAACAGG